rnacentral:rRNA from 1 species
AUGCAGAAUUCAGUGAAUCAUCGAAUCUUUGAACGCACCUUGCGCUCCUUGGUAUUCCGAGGAGCAUGCCUGUUUGAGUGUCAUU